rnacentral:rRNA from 1 species
AUUGAACGCUGGCGGCAUGCCUUACACAUGCAAGUCGAACGGCAGCACGGGGCAACCUGGUGGCGAGUGGCGUACGGGUGAGUAAUGCAUCGGAACGUACCUUUCAGUGGGGGAUAACGUAGCGAAAGUUACGCUAAUACCGCAUAUUCUGUGAGCAGGAAAGCAGGGGAUCGCAAGACCUUGCGCUGAUUGAGCGGCCGAUGUCAGAUUAGCUAGUUGGUGAGGUAAAGGCUCACCAAGGCGACGAUCUGUAGCGGGUCUGAGAGGAUGAUCCGCCACACUGGAACGGAGGCACGGUCCAGACUCCUACGGGAGGCAGCAGUGGGGAAUUUUGGACAAUGGGGGCAACCCUGAUCCAGCCAUGCCGUGUGAGUGAAGAAGGCCUUCGGGUUGUAAAGCUCUUUCGGCCGGGAAGAAAUCGCACGGGCUAAUACCCUGUGUGGAUGUCGGUACCGGAAUAAGAAGCACCGGCUAACUACGUGCCAGCCGCCGCCGUAACAC